rnacentral:ncRNA from 2 species
AAGUAAAAGAAUCUCCGAACCCGGAAACCUAAGCUAUAUAGGGUAUGGUUUCCCGGUCGUCAGGGUGUAUUGAGAAAUCGGUAUGCCUCCCGUUAUGGAAAGGAGAACAUGCUUUACUGAA